rnacentral:antisense_RNA from 12 species
GAUAGCCAAAAAUAACACCAGGAUUUAAAGUUAAAUUUGUUAUUUUACGUACAUCUCCACCACCAGGUGCCCAAGUAUCAUAAACACCACCGAACCAUACAGCUUUAAACACUAGUAAGAAAGCACCAAGUCCUAAGAUAAUUAAAUGAAUACCUAAAAUGGUAGUCAUUUUGUUCUUAUCUUUCCA